CCUACGGGGGGCAGCAGUGAGGAAUAUUGGUCAAUGGACGAGAGUCUGAACCAGCCAAGUAGCGUGAAGGAUGACUGCCCUAUGGGUUGUAAACUUCUUUUAUAUGGGAAUAAAAUGUUCCACGUGUGGGAUUUUGUAUGUACCAUAUGAAUAAGGAUCGGCUAACUCCGUGCCAGCAGCCGCGGUAAUACGGAGGAUCCUAGCGUUAUCCGGAUUUAUUGGGUUUAAAGGGAGCGUAGGUGGAUUGUUAAGUCAGUUGUGAAAGUUUGCGGCUCAACCGUAAAAUUGCAGUUGAAACUGGCAGUCGUGAGUACAGUAGAGGUGGGCGGAAUUCGUGGUGUAGCGGUGAAAUGCUGAGAUAUCACGAAGAACUCCGAUUGCGAAGGCAGCUCACUGGACUGCAACUGACACUGAGGCUCGAAAGUGUGGGUAUCAAACAGGAUUAGAUACCCGUGUAGUC
rnacentral:rRNA from 1 species